rnacentral:lncRNA from 1 species
ACCACAGCAUAUUUGUUUAAAUGCAUUCAUCCUCCAUUUUGCAUUGCCUUGCAUAUAAAAAUAAAAAAAAUAAAAAAAUAUUUGCCUCAUGUCUUCAUCACUCAAUAUCUUGUCUCUAGUAUAAUGAAUCUUGUUCAUCCUAUCAUGCUCUCUCUUUCUAUGUUAGUAUGCUUUGGUUUGGUUAUACUAAUCGCUCAAGUGAGUACCUCCAUAGUCUUUUUAAAUUAAGCAUGGUGCUUAGGUCAAAUAUACUACCUCAAUCAAACAAGACAUGGUGUUAAGUUUGAUUAUUGAACUAAACAUACUUGCAUGGAACUUGGGUGCACUUUUGGACUAACCCCUGCAGCAAGAACAUCGAUAUCUCUAUGGGUAAGUCAUG